GACGAACGCUGGCGGCGUGCCUAAUACAUGCAAGUCGAGCGAAUCUUAAGGUGCUUGCACCUUUUGGUUAGCGGCGGACGGGUGAGUAACACGUGGGCAACCUGCCUGUAAGAUUGGGAUAACUCCGGGAAACCGGAGCUAAUACCGGAUAACAUUUUGAACCGCAUGGUUCAAAAUUGAAAGAUGGUUUCGGCUAUCACUUACAGAUGGACCCGCGGCGCAUUAGCUAGUUGGUGAGGUAACGGCUCACCAAGGCAACGAUGCGUAGCCGACCUGAGAGGGUGAUCGGCCACACUGGGACUGAGACACGGCCCAGACUCCUACGGGAGGCAGCAGUAGGGAAUCUUCCGCAAUGGACGAAAGUCUGACGGAGCAACGCCGCGUGAACGAUGAAGGCCUUCGGGUCGUAAAGUUCUGUUGUUAGGGAAGAACAAGUACCAGAGUAACUGCUGGUACCUUGACGGUACCUAACCAGAAAGCCACGGCUAACUACGUGCCAGCAGCCGCGGUAAUACGUAGGUGGCAAGCGUUGUCCGGAAUUAUUGGGCCGUUAAAGCGUACCCAGGCGGGUUUCUUAAGUCUUGAU
rnacentral:rRNA from 1 species